rnacentral:rRNA from 1 species
AUUGAACGCUGGCGGCAUGCCUUACACAUGCAAGUCGAACGGCAGCACGGGGGCAACCCUGGUGGCGAGUGGCGAACGGGUGAGUAACACAUCGGAACGUGUCCAGUUGUGGGGGAUAACCCAUCGAAAGGUGGGCUAAUACCGCAUGAGCUGGCAACAGGAAAGCGGGGGACCCGCAAGGGCCUUGUGCGAUUGGAGCGGCCGAUGUCCGAUUAGCUAGUUGGUGGGGAAAGGCCUACCAAGGCUUCGAUCGGUAGCUGGUCUGAGAGGAUGAUCAGCCACACUGGGACUGAGACACGGCCCAGACUCCUACGGGAGGCAGCAGUGGGGAAUUUUGGACAAUGGGGGCAACCCUGAUCCAGCCAUGCCGCGUGAGUGAAGAAGGCCUGGUGUAG